UGACCUCAAGUAAUCUGCCUGCCUCGGCCUCCCAAAGUGCUGGGAUUACAGGCAUAAGCCACCAUGCCCAGCCAGUCUAGGCAGUUUUAAAGUACUAAAUGAUUUUGCAAGCAUUUAACAUCUCCUAUAAGAUAGCAGGUCUUAGUUAUGUGCCAGGCACUGGUAUUAAGUAUUUUGUUUAUAUUACUUCAUUACAACAACCAUAAGAGGCACAUAUUAUUUUAACCCCCUAUUUUACAGAGGAAAAAUUGGAGACACAGGAAACUUGAGUAGUCUUAAGUUAAAAAGCUAGAAAGUAGCAAAUCCAGAAUUUAAGUCUAAGCAGUCUACCUUCAGAAUUUUUACACCCUAACUUUUCCUUUCUGUUUCAUCUAUAUUUCAAACUUUGGGUAUUUAAAGACAUUGGGACUGUUCUGGAGAAGCUGAUAUUUAGGAAAUCUGGUUGCUGCUCACAGAAUAAAAUCUUAGGUUCAGUGUAAAUUCAGUAAUGACUGGAAAACCAACAACUCAGUUCACAAGUACUUUAAAAAUAGGUAACUGUUUAACAUUUCGUCUUCCCAACAGCCUGCUGAACUGUAAAUUCUACCAUCUCCACUUUGCAGAUGAGGAAAUUGAGACUUUGACAAGUCAAAGAGCACAGCUGGAAUGCAAGUCAAAUAUGUACAAGGAUAUCCACAACACUGUUCGCAGCUACAAGCUGAGGUACAAGGUGCCUCAAAAGCUUGAGAGAAGCAGAAAUAGAAUAGAAUCCUGACCUGUGAAAACAAUGACUCUGCAAUAAGAAAAUUCCCUAUUUGCUCCUAAUAAACACAAAAUUGAAGGCCUUUGGAAAUAUUCAAGACCACACGCUCAUGGCAGAAACUGGUUAGAAGCUAAAGAGUAUCAAGGAUAUCAAAUGGUUGGUUACUUGAACUGCUCUAUUAUCACCUUCAACUCCUUAGCAAUAAAAGAUUAAAUGUAUCUAAAAGGCUAGCAAAGUUUUUUUUAAAGGCACUAGGAUAAAAGGUAAUUUAUAACAUUUUCAAACUGGCUAGAAAUGGGUUUUUAAACAUGUGGUUUAAAAUUACCUGCAAUAUGGCUUUGCUGUAUAUGGCUAAUAAUGAAGAAUAUAUAUGGCCUAGUUGGAGAAUAAGACCAGUCUAGUUAACAAACAGAGCCACCGUAAGAGAUAGAAGAUAAAGACAGAGUUGACUCUGAAUGCUACACUAAAUUGUUUGAAUUUUCUCCUGCAAAUAAUGGGAGACUAAAGGUUUCUGAGUUAGAAAAGAACAACAAAACAGAUUUUCUGAAAGCUAAAUCUACUCUAUACUGUAACCAGAGUUGACUAGGGUAAAAUGUAAGUGGAGUGGCCAAUAAAGACAAUGUUUUAUUCCUUUACACAUGGCAGGAUAAAGGGAAGUAGCAGAAGGAAUGAAAAGUGAUCACUUCAAACAAUGGUUAUUAUAAAGAAUGAUUUCACAGGAUUUGGAGACCAGGAGCCAAACAGAGUUUUAAAAUACUGAGUAUGUCAACUGAGUCUGGGAGAAUUAUGGAACCUUAAAAUAGGAAAAUGCAUAGAAUAAGGUCUCUGGAUUCGAGGCGGGGAUAGGGAUAAGAAUUGGAAAAGAGAAGAUACAUUCUAUUUUUUAAUUAUUGCAUUUAUACUGGGAGUUUUAGCAGGUUAACUGCUAGACAGGACACAAAAGGGAUAGGCUAGAAGGGCAAAUUUAUAAGUAAUUUACAUACUUAUAUCUUACAUUUGUAAAAUAUUUUUAUUUUUACAGCUGAUUCCAAGUAUAUUAUCUCAUUUGAUCUCUACAAUUGCCCUGAAAGGUAGACAGGUCAGAUAUCUGUUUUCCACAUAUGUAGGCACUGAAAGUUAAGUCACAUAGCUAGAAGCAAUAGAACAUUAACUAAAAUUCAGAUGGGUAAAUCCUAAUGUGCAUCCACAGUGCUGUGUUAGUUACAUGUCUGUAAGAUACCAUGCUGACUACAUGCUUCCUUCAAAAUCCCAUCCUUUUUUUGCCUUUAAAAUAUGAUCAGAGAAAAUUUAUCUUUUCCCUUCAAUUGACUGCUUCAUAAAAUAAAUUUUAACACAAUCAUUAAUUUCACUGUUACAUAUGCUAACAGACUACAAGUUUAUUUUAGUACCUGAUUGUGGUAACAAGAUAUCUAUUGCUCAAAGUACCUAAAAAAAACUCAGUUUACCAAGCAGCGAAGGCAAUCAAGUAGAGAAAUGGUAGAUAUGUGUGUGAAUUUUCCUACUACAUAUGUAAAGUGAUACUAGGCUACCAACAUUCCAGUUUCCUACAACAAUAUAAAAAAUUUUAUUCUCUAUUCUGCAUUGCUCUAAUUUCAGUAUGUGCUGGCAAAGUGAGCCACAUGUCAUAACUUGACAAACUGUUUUUAAUAAUAUUUAUAGCUUAAAAAUGAAUAUCCUAAAAAUAUAAUAGACUCCUGUUAUACAAAUUAGCUAUCCUCCUGGGGUAAAACUGAAGUAUUUUCAAAAUCGUAACUGUAAUAUCCCUAAACAUACUUAUAACUAUACCAACUCCCAUCAAUUCUACCUCUGUAUCUCACAUACACUCUUAGCUUCUCCCUUCUCAUGCCACUACCUUAAAUCAUAAUAUACAUUAUCUCUUGCAUGGGUUUUUCUAUGAGCAUCUUAACUUUUCUAUGAGUUUCUCUCCAACCUGUCUUUUCUAAUUGCCAAUCAUUUUACACAGUAUUGCCAGAUUAACUUUCCGAAGCACUCCUACCACCACAACAGUGUCCCUUUUCAAGUUUUUAUUGUCUUUUCUUUAAGCUAUUGUUUCCUGAGAAUUUACUAUGUACCAUUCAUUCACUAUGCUAAGCACCUGACAUACAUUAUCUCAUUUAAUCCUCACAGCAGUCUCCUUGUUCAAUUUUGUAUCUUAACAAAAUAAAUACUUGUCCAAUGUCAAAAGCUAAAUGGCACAGCUAGGGCCUGGAGUCUGCUUGACUCCAGGGCAUUUUAACAACUAUUCUGCAGAACACCUUAGCCUGACAUUCAUAUGGCUCCACUUGACUUAGUCCUAGAAUACUUUUUCCAUUUUCUUUCUCCCUCCCCUGUCUUCUGAAUCAAACUACUUGCUGUUUCCCAUAUGAGCCCUGCAAUUUCCCACCUCCUUUGGGAAGUGUCCACAUUCCCAAAGGAAGUUUAUUAAUUUAAUAGUCAACUCUUAUAGCACUUAUUUUGUGUACUGCUUAUAUUUAGUCAUUAAACUUUGACAUACUGCUUAUAUUUUGUCAUUAAACUUUUGACAUAUUGUUUCUUAUACCAAGAAAAAAUCCUCUCUUCAACUUUUUAUCUGUUAAGAUUUUCCUCUUCCAUCAAGUAUCCUAUGAAAUCUUAAUUUUGCCUGCCCUCUCUCUCCUCUACAAACUACCCUUCUAGAGUACUUAAUCUACGCCUUUGCUGUAGCAUUUAUUGUCUACCUUGAAAUCAGAAUGUCUAUUAAUUGCAAGCCCCCGAGGCAAAGUUUGUUAACUCAUAUUUGAUGAGUUCGUAACAUAUAAAAUAUAUUGUGCUAUAUACAAAUAUUUUUUGAAUGAAAAUCUUUUUAAUCUUUUUGACCAAAGAACCACUUAAUGAGAGAGAGGAGGGUUGUGCCUUCUUACCACGAAUGUCCUCCCAUCCAAGUACUAACCAGGCCUGACCCUGCUUAGCUUCCAAGAUCAGACAAGAUCAGGCACAGUCAGGGUGGUAUGGCCGUAGAGGAAUGUCCUCAUUCAUAAUUUUACGAAUACAGUUAAAUCAAUAUGGAUUGCUGGAAGAUGGAGAGCUGGCGCUUAAACCUAAAAUUUAUUCUAAGAACAGAGUAUCACUUAUUAGAGAGAUGCAUAAGUUCUGGUCAUUCUUCUAUUAAACUAAUAUUUUCCUUUAAAUAAAUGAGGAAGAGUAAUAGUUUCUGUUUAAAUCUCUCUCCUGGGGACAAUGUUUCCAAGACUGGAAAAACUAUAAAUUCUGGUAGAAUGAAGAAAUAAUAAACAGAAAGUUAAAGUAGAAGAAACUUAAGACAAAUACAUUUACGAAAUACAUAUAUUCUUUUUUUUUUUU
rnacentral:lncRNA from 1 species